rnacentral:lncRNA from 1 species
GGUAUUUGUGGUCACUGUUUGGAGCGUGGAACUGUAUAUGGUGCCCCUGGCUCUGCUGGUGCUUUUUGCGUACAACUUCUCCCUCAUCACAACGGGGAAGGUCAACAACACGCAAGAUGCCCAGGAGCUUAUGGGCUUGGAUGAAGAUGAGGAUGAAGAUGAUAAGGAAUCUGAGAAAAAGGGUUUAAUUGAUAGAAUCCACAUGGUCCAAGAGAUCAUCAUAGCUGUUCAAAGCAUCCUAGAAGAAAUAGCA